AAAAGGCCCCAACCCUGAAGAAAAGCCCUUCCCCUCCGGACAAAACCCUGAGGAAAAGCCCCUUCCCCUUCAGCCACAAGCCUCAGGAAGUGGUUCAUUCCCUCAUUCCCCUCCGACCCAACCCUAAGGAAAAGACCCUGCGCGUCCAUACCCAACCCUGAGGAAAAGCUCCUGCAAUUCCGGUACCAACCCUGAGGAAAAGCCCCUUCCCCUCCCGGCCCCAACCCUGACGAAAAGCCCUUCCCCUCCGGCCCCAACACUGAGGAAAAGCCCAUUCCCCUCCAGCCACAAGCCUCAGGAAAAGGUCCAUUCCCCUCCGACCCAACCCUGAGGAAAAGACCCUGCAUGUCCAGACCCAACCCUGAGGAAAACCCCUGCGCGUCUGGCCCCAAUCCUGAGGAAAAGCCCCUGCACUUCCGGCCUCAACCCUGAGGAAAAGCCCCUGCGCGUAUGGCCCCAACCCUGAGGAAAAGCCCCUUCUCCUCCCAGCCCCAACCCUGAGGAAAAGCCUUUCCCCACCUGCCCCAACCAUGAGGAAAAGUCCCUUCCCCUUAAGCCCCAAGCCUCAGAAUAUGCCCCAACCCUGAAGAAAAGUCCUUCCCCUCCGGACACAACCCUCAGAAAAGCCCUUUCUGCUCAGGCCACAACCCUCUGAAAAAGCCCCUGUGCGUCCGGCCCCAACACUGAGGAAAAGCCCCUUCCCCUCCCGGCCCCAACCCUGAGGAAAAGCCCCUUCCCCUCCAAACCCCAACCCUCAGGAAAAGCCCCUUCCCCUCCCAGCCCCAACCCUGAGGAAGAGCCACUUCCCCUCCAAACCCCAACCCUCAGGAAAACCCCUUCCCCUCCCGAAACCAACCUUGACGAAAAGCCCCUUCCCCUCCCGGCCCAAACCCUGAUGAAUAGCCCGUUCCCCUCCGUCCACAACCCUGACGAAAAGCCCCUUACACUCUGUCCCAAUCCCUGAGGAAAAGCCCCUUCGCCUCCGGCCCCAAGCCUCAGAAAAGGCCCCUUCCCCUCCGGCCACAACCCUGAGAAAAAGCCCCUUCCCCUCCAGCCACUACCCUGAGAAAAAGCCCCAACCCUGAAGAAAAGCCACCUCCCCUCCUGCAAAAAACCUCAGGAAAACCCCUUCAACUCCGGCCCGAACCCUGACAAAAACCCCUUCCCCUCCCGCCGCGACACUGAGGAAAAACCCUAACCCUGAGGAAAAGCCCCUGCGCGUCCGGCCCCAACCCUGAGGAAAAGCUCCUGCGCGUCCGGCCCCAACCCGGAGGAAAAGCGCCGGCGCGUCCGGCCCCAAACCUGGGGAAAAGCGCCAGCGCGUCCGGCCCCAACCCUGAGGAAAAGCCCCUGCGCGUCCGGCCGCAACCCUGAGGAAUAGCGCCUACCCCUCCGGACCCAACCCUGAGGAAAAGCCCCUUCCCCUCUGGCCUCAACCCUGAGGAAAAGCCCUUCCCCACCAGCCCCAACCCUGACGAAAAGCCCUUCCCCUUCAGCCCCAAGCCUCAGAAAAGGCCCCAACCCUGAAGAAAAGCCCUUCCCCUCCGGACACAACCUUCAGAAAAGCCCCUUCCCGUCCGAUCCCAACCCUCGGAAAAAGCCCGAAGCCUGAGGAAAAGCCCCUUCCCCUCUGGCCACAACCAUUAGGAAAAGUCCCAACCCUAAAAAGAAGCCCACUCCCAUCAGACCCCAGGCCUGAGGAAAAGGCCCUUCGUGUCCGGCCCCAACCCUGACGAAACGCCCCUUCCCCUUCGGCCCCAAACCUGACAAAAAGCCCUAGCCCACCAGCCCCAGCCCUGACGAAAAGCCCCAUCCACUUCCACCCCAAGCCUCAGAAAAGGCCCCCACCCGGAAGAAAAGCCCUUCCCCUCCGGACACAACCCUCAGAAAAAGCCCCUGCGCGUCCGAACCCAACCCUGAGGAAAAGCCCCUGCGCGUCCGGCCCCAAUCCUGAGGAACAGCCC
rnacentral:lncRNA from 1 species